rnacentral:rRNA from 1 species
UAAUACAUUACAACUUUCAGCGGUGGAUGUCUAGGUUCCCACAACGAUGAAGAACGCAGCGAAAUGCGAUACGUAAUGCGAAUUGCAAGACCUCGUGAAUCAUUAAGAUUUUGAACGCACAUUGCGCUUUCGGGAUUUUCCCGGUAGCAUGCUUGUCUGAGUGUCUGUGGAUCC